AAAUUGUCUAAUAAAUAGACUUCCCAAACGCAUAAAAAAUGCGUAUUAUAUGCACCCUUAAAUCAGAAAAUUUUUAUCGAAAUUUUUUGGCAAGGGAAAGAAAAGUACGGUUUUUACCGUACUUUCUUAUUUGGAAAUCAUUUUGAUCGGCGUUAGCUUUCACCAAUGGAUAA
rnacentral:ncRNA from 1 species